rnacentral:lncRNA from 1 species
ACCCCACCGAGCCACCUCACCCCCCCCGACACGAAUCCGGGCGACGACAGCGCGAACCGCGGUCACCCCACGCACGCACACAGAGGGGGAAAAGAGCACUCCGCUCUAUCCUCCCCCCUCCCCCGAUGACCGGACUACUUACUGCCCUCGACCCCACGGCCGAGCUCGUCGCGGCCCGCAGGCCGUACGAGGCUUUCCCCCCCCACGCCACCAGACACGGAGCGACGCGGCGGGCGGGCGGUCCCCCACGACCAGGACCCGAACCCAGCACCACACCGGAGAACGGGAGAAGUCGGAGCCAGGCAUCUCCUCUUCCCACUGGCCCGUCCGGCAAACCCAGGGGGCGGCCGUCCCAAGACCCCCCCACCCAGACCCGCCCUUCCCGUCUCGGGGGCACGGGAAGCAGGAAAGACGGGAAAGGGACCCGACGGGUGCCCCGGGGCCGCGGCACGAGGCACGCGACCCGGCGGCGCCGCCCUCGGCGCCCGAGACCCAGGGGCGCGCGCAAACACUGGACCGAAACCGACGCCCCGCUGGAGUCUCUUCCGGAGAGGGGCUAAGGCAGGGUUGCAGGGGGGCCGGCUGCCGCUCGCCGAGCCCCUCCCAAGCCGCGGCUCUCCCUCGCUCGCGUUAGAGCCUGGUUUCCCUCCGGGCGGCUCCCGCACCCUCACGUGGCCGAAGCCAACCCCCCGACGCGGGAGGCGGCGCGGGCGGACGAGCCGCAAUCGGGCGCAGGGCAGGGGGAAGCGGAGGCGCGCGAGGUGGCGGGGGAAGGAGACCCUCCCCCUCCGCCUCGACACACCGCAACGACCACCCCCCGACCCCCGCUCGUCAAGGAACCGGCCGCGGGUGUCGCGGGCGCACACACACGCCGCCGCGACUCUCCCGCGGCCGUCGCGGAAAACCGCCCGGCGGGCCCCCCCCCCCACGGGAGGGAAACUCCACCGGACGCGGCCUGACGACGGGACGGGCCCCGCUGCGUCUGAGAGCACGGCGGGCUCUCUCUCGGUAAUGAUCCUUCCGCAGGGUCACCUACGGAAACCUUGUUACGACUUUUACUUCCUCUAGAUAGUCAAGUUCGACCGUCUUCUCAGCGCUCCGCCAGGGCCGUGUGUACUUAGACAUGCAUGGCUUAAUCUUUGAGACAAGCAUAUGCUACUGGCAGGAUCAACCAGGUAGUCGAAAGAAGAGAAGAGAAGAGGGGAAGGGGAAACCGCGGCGUGGAGGAGGAAGGAGGAGGAGGAAGGAGAGAGACGAGGCGCGGGGGGAAGGCAACACGGGCCGGCCCCCACCACCCCAAAACCCGCCUUGCGCACGGGUCGAGGAGCGGCCCUCGCUCU